AGCCAGGGGGGGCAGUGGGGUCACUGGACCCCCCUGGAAUUUGGUAAUUUUCGCAGGGGUAUUUUAGUAAUUUCAUAUAUAUUAAUAAAAAUUAAAAAAAAACAAUUUUAGGGUUAAUUUUCGCAGCUCUCAACCUAACCUCUGAAACUCCUCCCCUUCUCCAUUGCGCAGCUGCUUCGAAGAAAUAACUAAACCUAUUUCUUUCCUCUCUCAAUCGCCAUUCUCAGGUGCCGCGCCGCUUUCCAACUUCUCUACCGGCUGCUGCCAGCCUGCGGCUGUCGACGCCGUCGUCGGCAAUCUCUCUCCGGUGCGCCGUCUGUCUACAAGGAAGUAGCUGAAAAUGAAACGAUAUUUUUUUGAACGAUUGCUUAGUACCUUACAUCGAAAAGGAUGUGUUUGUAAAUGUUACUAAUGAAGCUAUUAUGCAGAGGUUUCAGAACAUGAAAAACAGGAGAGAAAUGUUAUGAUUUCUGAAAAAAAUUGUUUAUUUUGUUUAUUUGACUUGUUAUGUAAUUUAAAUAACAUUAUAGUUGUGUUAGUGAUUAUUAUUUAUUUUUAA